rnacentral:rRNA from 1 species
AACGUAGGUGGCAAGCGUUAUCCGGAUUCACUGGGCGUAAAGCGCACGCAGGUGGCACGGCAGGUAGGGCAUGGAAACUCCUGGCUUAACUAGGAGAGGCUGUCCUAAACCGCCGGGCUUGAGGGUGAGAGAGGGAAGUGGAAUUGCCGGUGUAGUGGUGAAAUGCGUAGAGAUCGGCAGGAACACCAGUGGCGAAAGCGGCUUCCUGGCUCACUUCUGACACUCAUGUGCGAAAGCCAGGGGAGCAAACGGG